rnacentral:rRNA from 1 species
GGUCUGGCCGGGCGGUCCGCCGUUUCGGUGUGUACUGCUCUCGGGCCGGUCCUUUCCUUCUGGGGAGCCGUCGGGUCCCUCACGGGGCGCGGCGGGGAGCCAGGACUUUUACCUUGAAAAAAUUAGAGUGUUCAAAGCAGGCGUACGCUUGCAUAGAUUAGCAUGGAAUAAUAGAAUAGG